rnacentral:misc_RNA from 1 species
GAUGAAGAACGUAGCGAAAUGCGAUACGUAAUGUGAAUUGCAGAAUUCAGUGAAUCAUCGAAUCUUUGAACGCACCUUGCGCCCUUUGGCCAUUCCGAAGGGCAUGCCUGUUUGAGUAUCAUGAACACCUCAACUCUUUAUGGUUUUCCAUGAUGAGCUUGGACUCUGGGGGUUUUGCUGGCUCACAGUCGGCUCCUCUAAAAUGAAUCAGCUUACCAGUGUUUGGUGGGUAUCAUGGGUGUGAUAACUAUCUACGCUUGUGGUUUUUCCACCAGGUAACCUGCAGCAGUGGAGGUUCGCUGGAGCUCAUAGAUGUCUCUCCUCAGUGAGGACAGCCCUUUGAAUGUUUGAUCUCAAAUCAGGUAGGACUACCCGCUGAACUUAAGCAUAUCAAUAAGCGGAGGA